rnacentral:rRNA from 1 species
GAUGAACGCUGGCGGCGUGCCUAAUACAUGCAAGUCGAGCGAACGGACGAGAAGCUUGCUUCUCUGAUGUUAGCGGCGGACGGGUGAGUAACACGUGGAUAACCUACCUAUAAGACUGGGAUAACUUCGGGAAACCGGAGCUAAUACCGGAUAAUAUUUUGAACCGCAUGGUUCAAAAGUGAAAGACGGUCUUGCUGUCACUUAUAGAUGGAUCCGCGCUGCAUUAGCUAGUUGGUAAGGUAAUGGCUUACCAAGGCAACGAUGCAUAGCCGACCUGAGAGGGUGAUCGGCCACACUGGAACUGAGACACGGUCCAGACUCCUACGGGAGGCAGCAGUAGGGAAUCUUCCGCAAUGGGCGAAAGCCUGACGGAGCAACGCCGCGUGAGUGAUGAAGGUCUUCGGAUCGUAAAACUCUGUUAUUAGGGAAGAACAUAUGUGUAAGUAACUGUGCACAUCUUGACGGUACCUAAUCAGAAAGCCACGGCUAACUACGUGCCAGCAGCCGCGGUAAUACGUAGGUGGCAAGCGUUAUCCGGAAUUAUUGGGCGUAAAGCGCGCGUAGGCGGUUUUUUAAGUCUGAUGUGAAAGCCCACGGCUCAACCGUGGAGGGUCAUUGGAAACUGGAAAACUUGAGUGCAGAAGAGGAAAGUGGAAUUCCAUGUGUAGCGGUGAAAUGCGCAGAGAUAUGGAGGAACACCAGUGGCGAAGGCGACUUUCUGGUCUGUAACUGACGCUGAUGUGCGAAAGCGUGGGGAUCAAACAGGAUUAGAUACCCUGGUAGUCCACGCCGUAAACGAUGAGUGCUAAGUGUUAGGGGGUUUCCGCCCCUUAGUGCUGCAGCUAACGCAUUAAGCACUCCGCCUGGGGAGUACGACCGCAAGGUUGAAACUCAAAGGAAUUGACGGGGACCCGCACAAGCGGUGGAGCAUGUGGUUUAAUUCGAAGCAACGCGAAGAACCUUACCAAAUCUUGACAUCCUUUGACAACUCUAGAGAUAGAGCCUUCCCCUUCGGGGGACAAAGUGACAGGUGGUGCAUGGUUGUCGUCAGCUCGUGUCGUGAGAUGUUGGGUUAAGUCCCGCAACGAGCGCAACCCUUAAGCUUAGUUGCCAUCAUUAAGUUGGGCACUCUAAGUUGACUGCCGGUGACAAACCGGAGGAAGGUGGGAAUGACGUCAAAUCAUCAUGCCCCUUAUGAUUUGGGCUACACACGUGCUACAAUGGACAAUACAAAGGGCAGCGAAACCGCGAGGUCAAGCAAAUCCCAUAAAGUUGUUCUCAGUUCGGAUUGUAGUCUGCAACUCGACUACAUGAAGCUGGAAUCGCUAGUAAUCGUAGAUCAGCAUGCUACGGUGAAUACGUUCCCGGGUCU